ACGGCGGUCGCUCCUUUCGGAGAACCGCCUCUCACGCCGGAACCGGAAGAAGGCACCCGGGGGGCACAGCGGCCUCAGUCGCGCUCACCGGCGCCAGCGGUGACGACACCGGAAGAAGAGGAGCGAGAACGACUGGAAGCACGACUCGGCGAGCUCCAGGAGGAGUUCUCCGAGCUUCUGAUAGGACUGCGCAGGCGCAAGUCGGUCGCCGACAACGUGCUUCUGGACGCCGACGUUGAGGAAGACGACGACCUGGAUGGUGAACUACGCCGGCCUCCGAGACGCCGCGCCCUGUCGGUCACGGUGCGGCGGGCCAGCCUGCAAGCGGUGGUGUCCACCACGCGGCCACUGACCACCGGCUCAUCGCCUGUCUUCCGGUCGGCGGACACGAGCCCGGGAGCUCCGGAGACGAGGACGUUUCUAGGGGUCACCAUUAGGGACGACUGACUAAGGCCGCACCGCACGGGCCACCCAGCGACUAACGGCCGCUUUCCGAGGGAGACGUGCGCGAACCUGGAGCACGGAGUGCUGGGACACCUGUUCCUGCGGCAGAUACCUCCGUACCGGCUCGUGCCGAACGUGGCGUCGGCGAUCUCCGAUUUCCUAGCCACACGGCUCCGCCUCGGAACGACUCCAGGUCGCGUCGCCGUUGGUGACCCGCGCAGUGACAGCAGCAAGCAGCAGUCGGAGGAAGGCGUCCUUCUGUCCGCCGAACCUCGCUACGGAUACUUCUACUUUGCCGACGACGUUCUGUGCGUCGUGCCGGUGCACUACGUGUCGCCGCCCAGGGGAGGCUUCUUUCUGCCGAGGAGUCUACGCACCAACAAAGGAAGUGACGCUAUCAUCGACUUAUCGCCCGCCAUGCCAUGGACGGUCCACCGCUAGUCAUCCCCGUUUUCCUACCCGACCAUCCUCGUCUAUUGCCGACAGACUAUUGACCGCAGUGGUUAAGGAAGCGCCUGAAACGGAACUCCAGAGAGAAAAAAAUAUAUAAACUUGACAUUGUGGCAGUUUUUUAUGCUGAAGUCUAUGGAAUAUUUACGCCCUUUAGAGCUUUUCUUAUCCUCAAAUAAUAUUCGUCACCUAUAUUGCCUGCAUUUCUAAAUUUGCAUAACUCUGCGCGCCCGGAACAUUCAGGUCAUGAACAGCAUGCCCGUAUCAGCGUGACACAGCGUUCCCGACAGGAAUGUAGCUAGCGCCGACAUUUAAAGACAGAAAAUGCAUGCAACAGGACGUGUAAUGUGUUAGGACAAGAUGAGCCUCAAGAACGUGUAUGAAUACUUGGAGCGUAUGGAUGGAAAGUAGGUGUACUUCUACGUACCUGCUUGCUGGCCAGAGUUACGACACCCUAUAAUAUGACAACUAUAGACGGGAUACUGACACGACUACCGUGGCUAUGUGCAAUCGCAAGUGUAACUUACGAACUUACGUAAGAGAAGUUUUGUCAAAACGGGCGCUGAAGUUUUUGUGCUGUCAAUGCGAAGUAUGCGCGUCGCUGUAAUACGACACAGGAAAGCAGGCAGCUUAGCUGAAAAUGUUAGAUUGUCUAUGGCGAAGUAAUAGUGAUUGUUGCAAUAUUACGCGAGGAAUCAGGCAGUAUCCCUGAAGGUUGCGCGAAGUGCUAUCUCAUAUUUUGUAAUUUGAAAUUCUACGCACCAGCGUUGUGAACCUCGAUGUAAUAUGUAACCGCUUGUGGUCAACCGCAGCUGUCGCCAGUAGAUGCCAGGACAAGAAGGACAGACUAUUGACCGCAGUGGUUAAGGAAGCGCCUGAAACGGAACUCCAGAGAGAAAAAAAUAUAUAAACUUGACAUUGUGGCAGUUUUUUAUGCUGAAGUCUAUGGAAUAUUUGCGCCCUUUAGAGCUUUUCUUAUCCUCAAAUAAUAUUCGUCACCUAUAUUGCCUGUAUUUCUAAAUUUGCAUAACUCUGCGCGCCCGGAACAUUCAGGUCAUGAACAGCAUGCCCGUAUCAGCGUGACACAGCGUUCCUGACAGGAAUGUAGCUAGCGCCGACAUUUAAAGACAAAAAAUGCAUGCAACAGGACGUGUAAUGUGUUAGGACAAGAUGAGCCUCAAGAACGUGUAUGAAUACUUGGAGCGUAUGGAUGGAAAGUAGGUGUACUUCUACGUACCUGCUUGCUGGCCAGAGUUACGACACCCUAUAAUAUGACAACUAUAGACGGGAUACUGACACGACUACCGUGGCCAUGUGCAAUCGCAAGUGGAACUUACGAACUUACGUAAGAGAACUUUUGUCAAAACGGGCGCUGAAGUUUUUGUGCUGUCAAUGCGAAGUAUGCGCGUCGCUGUAAUACGACACAGGAAAGCAGGCAGCUUAGCUGAAAAUGUUAGAUUGUCUAUGGCGAAGUAAUAGUGAUUGUUGCAAUAUUACGCGAGGAAUCAGGCAGUAUCCCUGAAGGUUGCGCGAAGUGCUAUCUCAUGUUUUGUAAUUUGAAAUUCUACGCACCAGCGUUGUGAACCUCGAUGUAAUAUGUAACCGCUUGUGGUCAACCGCAGCUGUCGCCAGUAGAUGCCAGGACAAGAAGGACAACAUUUGCUAUUGACGGCAAUCCGACAGUGUCCGCGUACGUUAGAAACCAUUCAGGCUCGUUGUAGAGCAAUCGCGUCUGAUGCAGCAGUUUCCGCUCCACAUGACCAGAAUUUUACCGAACACAAACGACAGUGGAAUCCAAACAAGUUGUGGCAGCACUGUUGUUGAACAGAGAUGCGUCAAAGCCUCCUGUACUACCACUGCGUAGCCAUGAACAAGCUUUACUUAGCUUUAUCACAUCUUCUUAUUGUCUGCAGCUGACGUGAUCGUCCUAUCGUAACCCGCAGGCUUCACUAGCACCUCACCAAAACUGCUACCACUGCCCCGACUGUAUUUUUAAGCGCCAGUUCAUCACGCGAUGUCACCAACUCGAGGGUAUAGCCGUCCGAAGAGGUCACACCGAAAAAGCAACCGCCAGUAUCCAAUUUUCACUCGCGUCGGGUUGCAGUGCCGUACCACUCACCUUCCUUUAUUUCCCGAUUACGUCACGUAACACGAGUUUCGGUAAUGCCUUUGACGCCGUCAAAAUCAAUGUUCGCUCAUAUGAGACCUUAAUUACAGCGGGAGAAGACGCGCGCCAAACUCCGACAUUGGGCAGUAUCACGAAUGGGUAGUUUGACAGCCAGCGCCUUAGAAAACUAGGUUUCACGCGUGUACUUUGCUGUUGCCGUACCAACCACUCCACUAUGCUUCCUCUCUUAAGUAAAACCAGGAUCAUCGCGAGGAGUUCACGCAUAAAAAUAUUCAACAGAGUAGUCGCUACGAUUUAACAGAAGGUAAAUAGCGGUAACUUUGUCAGAAAUUUAUGUCUCAUUUUAAAGGGGCAGUUAUUAGCAACCCCGAAUCACAAGCUCAUUUUUUUUUUUCAUUUGGAGGAAACAGGUUGAUGUGAAUAAAAUCUAUCUUUGAAUUUCGUGCUAAUAGACAGCACCAAACGUCACAGUUUUCCUCUCCGG